rnacentral:rRNA from 1 species
CCUACGGGAGGCUGCAGUGGGGAAUAUUGGACAAUGGGGGGAACCCUGAUCCAGCCAUGCCCGUGUGUGAAGAAGGCCCUCGGGUUGUAAAGCACUUUCAGUGAGGAAGAACGCCUGGUGGUUAAUACCCAUCAGGAAAGACAUCACUCACAGAAGAAGCACCGGCUAACUCCGUGCCAGCAGCCGCGGUAAUACGGAGGGUGCGAGCGUUAAUCGGAAUUACUGGGCGUAAAGCGCGCGUAGGUGGCUUGAUAAGCCGGUUGUGAAAGCCCCGGGCUCAACCUGGGAACGGCAUCCGGAACUGUCAAGCUAGAGUGCAGGAGAGGAAGGUAGAAUUCCCGGUGUAGCGGUGAAAUGCGUAGAGAUCGGGAGGAAUACCAGUGGCGAAGGCGGCCUUCUGGACUGACACUGACACUGAGGUGCGAAAGCGUGGGUAGCAAACAGGAUUAGAUACCCCGGUAGUC